UCCCUGGUAGCGCAGCUGGUAAAGAAUCUGCCUGCAAUGCGGAAGACCCUGGUUCGAUUCCUGGAUAGGGAA
rfam:Ovis aries breed Texel chromosome 12, whole genome shotgun sequence.